rnacentral:lncRNA from 1 species
UUUGCUUAUGAAAAGGUAGAAGUUUUGACCGAUAGUGGUCUAGCAAAGCAUCCAUAUUUUCAAAGAAGAAUAUUAGAGCCACUGGGGGAUCAGAAAUACUUGCGAGUGGGGACAUGGCAAUCAUUACUAGAUGGUCUGCCAGACAGAAGGCAGUGGUCGUUGCAAGCACCCUGGUGGCUAUUCCCUCCUUAAAAAUGAACCCGACACUCCCUGAGGAAACUUAUUCACUAAGAUCCCUCUAUCUGAAUCCAAUCAUUCUACAAAUCCAACAACUCCAAGCUCGAUUAUUUACUGGGUUCCUUGCCUUCUUUCACUUCUUGAAUGCAGUAAGUUUUUGGAGACCAUCUGUAUUGUUAUGAGUUCCUUCUAAGAUGGAUACCUUUCCUGGCCAGAGCUGGGGUUUUCUUCGAUGGCCUGGCUUGAUGGCUUCUUGAGGCUUCUGAUUUUGGUGCUUUUAUGGUCUCACUGUUUGGAGGUCCUUUUAUUCCUUCGUCUUCCAUUUACCCCAAUUCGUGUUGGCGACCGGGUCAUUGUUGAGAAGGUAAAGAUUCUUUCAGAAUUUAGUGUUUGUUUAUUGUUAUAAAUUAUAAUGUCUAGUUUGGUGAUUGAUCUAGAUUCUUGUUGGGUAUCUAAGUUUGUGAAGAACUGAAGAUCAUAGUUCAGAAAUAAUAAUCUUGAUGAAUAUCUUUUGCAUUUGUUAUCUAAUCUUCAGAACCUUUACCCUAAUUAUUUAACCCAGUAAAGAACUGCUUUUACAUUUUCAUUUCCUGUUUUGCUUAUUAGUGGUUUCUGACUUGAAAGAGGAGAAUUAAUAUUGAAAGAUUUAUAAUUUUGAAUAUUACUGCAGUAUCCACAGGUGAUAGCAAAAAAAAAAAAAUCCAUAUAAUCAAUUUUAGUUGGUUUGAGAUUAAGACUUCAUGCUCUUGUCUUUAGAUAUAUUCCCAUCUAUUUAUCAUGAUUUUCUUUUCUUUUUUCUGAAAGGGGUUUCCCUCUUUUUUUCCUGGCUUGCUAGUUAAUUACUGGAUUAUCUUGUCUUAAUCAUAAAUCAGGUUUCUGUAUGACGACGCUGAGCUCCAGUUCAGCUGCAUUUGGAAAGAUGCCUAAUUUACUUGUAAGAUGACUUUGAUUCUUUCCCUUCUAGGUCAGAUUGAUAUACUUUGCACUUAGAGCUUUUCCACCAUGCUUUAGUUCAGCUUAGUGUAAACCGCCUCUUCUGUGGUGAAUUUCAGUGAGGAGGCUGAAAUCCUUGUAUUAUUGACAGUCUACAGAAUGGCAAUCUUCACCAAACCUGUAGGUUAUAGAUUCCAACUCUCCAAUUUUUAGGUGCAUUUGGGCAAUGAAAUGAGUUCCUUAUGAAAUGCCAGUAAGAUUACAAGAGUCGUUGUUAAUCAUUUCAUUUAACGAUUAUCAAUGACUUCUUUUGAUGUCAUUCAUAAUUGAACUCCCUUUUGUAUGUAUAGUGAUUGUUUGAGGUUCUUGUUCUUUACUGGAGCUAUUGUCUAUUUCUCUAUUAUCAGAUGACUUCUGCUUAGGGGAGAGCAUAUCUUGAUUCAAACAGAGAAACUGAGAAACUCAAAAAAAUUUUCAAAAUGUCUUUAAAUACUUUAAACUCAAGAGAUUAUCAGGUUAUCUCUGAUGAGCUUGACAGCUUUUCAAAAUAGGUCGCGAAAAGAAAAAUC